AGCGAACGCUGGCGGCAGGCUUAACACAUGCAAGUCGAGCGGGCAUCCUUGUGGUGUCCGCGGCAGACGGGUGAGUAACGCGUGGGAACGUGCCCUUCGGUUCGGAAUAACUCAGGGAAACUUGAGCUAAUACCGGAUACGCCCUUUUGGGGAACGGUUUACUGCCGAAGGAUCGGCCCGCGUCUGCUUAGCUAGUUGGUGAGGUUAUGGCUCACCAAGGCGAGGAUCAGUAGCUGGUCUGAGAGGAUGAUCAGCCACACUGGGACUGAGACACGGCCCAGACUCCUACGGGAUGCAGCAGUGGGGAAUAUUGGACAAUGGGGGCAACCCUGAUCCAGCCAUGCCGCGUGAGUGAUGACGGCCUUAGGGUUGUAAAGCUCUUUUCUCCGGGACGAUAAUGACGGUACCGGAGGAAUAAGCCCCGGCUAACUUCGUG
rnacentral:rRNA from 1 species